rnacentral:rRNA from 1 species
AGUGAACGCUGGCGGUAGGCCUAACACAUGCAAGUCGAACGGUAACAGGUCUUCGGAUGCUGACGAGUGGCGAACGGGUGAGUAAUACAUCGGAACGUGCCUAGUAGUGGGGGAUAACUACUCGAAAGAGUGGCUAAUACCGCAUGAGAUCUACGGAUGAAAGCAGGGGAUCGCAGGACCUUGUGCUACUAGAGCGGCCGAUGGCAGAUUAGGUAGUUGGUGGGAUAAAAGCUUACCAAGCCGACGAUCUGUAGCUGGUCUGAGAGGACGAUCAGCCACACUGGGACGGAGACACGGCCCAGACUCCUACGGGAGGCAGCAGUGGGGAAUUUUGGACAAUGGGCGAAAGCCUGAUCCAGCAAUGCCGCGUGCAGAACGAAGGCCUUCGGGUUGUAAACUGCUUUUGUACGGAACGAAAAGCCCCGGGUUAAUACCCUGGGGUCAUUACGGUACCGUAAGAAUAAGCACCGGCUAACUACGUGCCAGCAGCCGCCGUAA